GACGUAGGGCGCGAGCGUUGUCCGGAUUUAUUGGGCGUAAAGAGCUCGUAGGCGGCUCGUUGCGUCGACUGUGAAAACCCGCGGCUUAACUGCGGGCUUGCAGUUGAUACGGGCAGGCUAGAGUUCGGUAGGGGAGACUGGAAUUCCUGGUGUAGCGGUGAAAUGCGCAGAUAUCAGGAGGAACACCCGUGGCGAAGGCGGCUCUCUGGGACGGUACUGACGCUGAGACGCGAAAGCGUGGGGAGCGAACAGG
rnacentral:rRNA from 1 species